AAAUAUGUGGCUCAGGUGGUAAGAGCGGUUAUCUAUCAAUCUGCAGGUUGCUGGUUCAAUCCCAGUCCCAUGUUAA
rnacentral:tRNA from 1 species